rnacentral:lncRNA from 1 species
GCGAUGCGAGCGAUGAGCUGGAUGGCCUCCUUCAUGUAGAACCGGCCGUCCCCGCCCACCACCAGCGUGGCCUCCUGCCGCUGCGCCGGCUCCACGGUGGAGAUGAUACUCUGGAUGAAGUUCUCCGCGUAGUUGGCGCUGCUCUGGAACACCUUCACCCGCUUCCGCAGCCCGCUCGUGCCCGGCUUCUGGUCCUGUUUUAUUUUGGAUGUCGACAAAAGCCCUGAUUACCAUGCUGCCCUAGCAACAACAGUGUAAGAGGGUUCCCUUUUCUCCACAUCCUUGCCAGCAUUUGAAGUCCACAUGAAAGAAAAUUAUAUCUUCUGUUCAGUUUUGAGAAAAAAGUGUUAAAAGAUCACUGAAGUUGGAUGGUCUGUUAGAAGAAAAUUCAUUUGAUCCUUCAAAAAUCACAAGGAAGAAAAGUGUUAUAACUUAUUCUCCAACAACUGGAACUUGUCAAAUGAGUCUAUUUGCUUCUCCCACAAGUUCUGAAGAGCAAAAGCA